rnacentral:rRNA from 1 species
GACGAACCGAGCGAACGUUAUUCGGAAUCACUGGGCUUAAAGGGCGCGUAGGCGGGCCAUCAAGUCAGGGGUGAAAGCCCCCAGCUCAACUGGGGAAGUGCCUCUGAUACUGGUGGCCUCGAGGGAGGUAGGGGCGUGCGGAACUUCCGGUGGAGCGGUGAAAUGCGUAGAUAUCGUAAGGAAGACCAGUGGCGAAGGCGGGUCUCUGGACAGUUCCUGACGCUGAGGCACGAAGGUCAGGGGAGCAAACGGG